AAGUUGUUAUGGCUGGCAGCAUUUGGUUGUACUAAUGACUAAGUACUGUGUGAGAAGCUCAGCUUUUUGUGUAAGAUGGCCAAACAAACAUUCCUUGAAGUUUUCAGGAAAAGGGAAGUACUGGAGGGAAGCGUAGAUGAGAUGAGGGCCACCAGCCAAAUGUUCUGACCUAACCUCUGAAUGCACACAACAUAUCUUCCUUGCACUAAGCAGGCUGCUAUCAUGCAGCUGAAUGUAACUUUCUAAGUCUCUCUAACAACACCUACUGAAAUAAGACUCACUGGAAUUUGCUCUUCUACACUGAAAAUCAGGACUGCAGUGUGGUGGGGAAAAACUUCCUGCCAUCAUUUACCUCAAGCUCUGACACUGAAAGAGAGAAGGAAUGAGAGGGAACAAGUAAUUGCCUACAUUUAAAGCAGUGAAACAGAAUGGAGAUAAACACAGAAGCAAAUAGGAGGCAGCUUUACAGAGGGAACUAACAGAGUGUUAUGCAUUGCACAAGUUCUGCAACAUGCAUCUCAGCAGAAAAAGUCUGAUGCCUGCAGUACAAAAAGCAACAUGUGCUUUCUGUGAAAAACAAUUCUACAAACUAACCUUAAUAAAAGCUUGACAUUCUGGGAGAACACACAAGAGAACUCUAAAGCUUCUUAAUGAAAACCAGCACAUACAGAUUCAUGGAAACUAUGCUGAAGAGAAGCUUUCUGCAGUGGUUGCCAGCUCCCAAUCUGACGGGAAUGUACAACACACAACCCUCCAUUUUUGCUCUACUACAAACUGCCUCAAUCCCAAUUUCCAAAUUAAUGAAAAAUCAAAUGACAGUGUAACUCUUUACCAGGUGCUUUGUCUAAGAUAAAAAUAAUUACACAGAGGACAAAAAUAAUAAAAAAUAAUAACUUUCCUCACUUACUGUUUACAUAUAUAUAAUCUACGACAAAGGAUAUUUUUUUCUCUGCAAAGUUGUAUUGGUAAAUCUACCAAUGAUGUAGAUUUUUUUUUCUUCCAAAAAAUUCCUUGUGGAAUUUGACAGUGGUUUAAGGACUAUUAUGUGAAGUUCAAGCUAAAUGUGCACCAACUAAAUUCACACAGCUUUGCACUGAGUCUUAGUACAUUAGUAAACGUUUACAAACUUGUACUGAUCUAUCCUGCAAGCAGCCAGACCUUAGCUGCUGUAGGCAUGGGAGUAGACCGUUUUUUUUUUUUUAAACCAAAAUAGACCUCUGUGAUUUUUGACCUAGGAAAUCACCGUUACGACGCAGUUGUCUGUCAAUUUUUUACUUAACGGAGAGGCUUGCAACUAAAUGGCAAGAAUUUGUUUCUGAAUACUAUCUGGCAAGAAGAGAAACCUACUAAGACAACAAUGGAGUAACAUCCUAUUUGUAAACAGAAGUUGAGUCUGAUAAUCAUCUGUAUGAGUUAAUAAGCUUUCCAUUGAGACCUUUUCCAUUUCAUGGACGAAAUAAAAUGUAUUUGUUUAACCAUCUUAUACUGAAAAUGCACAAAACAGAUCAAAAGGAAAUAUACAUUCUCUUAAUCCCAAAAUAGCAGUUGACUUGCACGUUUUUUUUUUUUUUUUUUUUUUUUUUUUUUUUUUUCCCCUAAUGUUCCUUUCAGUCCUAUCGGAUUUCCAAUUUAGUUCUGACUUCACUCCCCAGUCCUGGACAGAUGCUCUUAUGCGUGCUUAGAAAUAGAAUGAAGAUGAAAACAAAUAUUUUGUAUAACCAGAAAGAAUACUAAAAAAAAAAAAAAAGAAGUUAUAUUCUAGAGUUGCUAUUCUGAGUAUUGAAAUAUCUAUAUAAAUAAUUGUUAUACAUUCUUCAGGUAUUAUAUUAUCAUUGCCUGAGCUCCCAUGCACCACAAGCCACUUGAUCAUUAAUACUACAUCUUAACAUUCUCUUCAGUUAAUCAAAUUAAGCAAGUUCACAUCU